CACAAAAACAGGUCGGAUAUUGAGAAACUUUAUGAAUAUCAAACUUAGCCAAUAGUAUAAUGAGGUUCCAAAGGUAAAAUUCACGUUCAAAUAUGUUUUUCAUACAGUGUAAAUCCAAAUAACACAUCUUUAAAACAAAGCACAAAUGUGUCAUAAAUAUAGGGGGGAAAAAAAAAUCCCCCAAAGUAUCGCGAGAUAUUGCGAGAUCUCGCAAAACAUUUUUUUCCCUUGUUUCUUUAGGAGCUCCGUAAUGUUUUGCCUCUUCAAGCAGAGUGGAAUUGUUCUACAUUGUCAUUUAUUUAAAUCAAAAACCGUAGCAGUAAUGCAUUUAAGAAAUGAUAAAACUGAAAGAGAAGAAGAUGUAUUCCUCUGAGCGCCGCCAUUUCGCCAGCUGUUAGCCACGCUAGCUAAUCAGCCGGACAGGUGAAGUCUAAAUGGGCUCCAUUUUUCCAGAAUAAAUUCCUAAUUCCCUCAUUUAGGCCACGAUUCAGAGAGGAUCAUAAUGAUGGAAUAAUGGCGUGAAGAGAGAAGAAGGCCAUGAUGGAAAGAACGUCGGAUGAGAGGAACUCAGCAGGAAGUGGAGGCAGCGCGUUGACUCCAUUAGAAAAGCUUGGGGCUGUUCCACCCGCGAGAAUAGUGGAAAGAUUUUACAUCGCUUUCCCCACAACCCGGAAAAAAGACAAGUAUGGAAAGUGAAGGUUCGCCGUCAACAGUGGAGAGCCACCGAUUACAGCGUCUUGUGCCAGACAAGCUGGGCUGUCACUUUCACGUUGCAACACUGCCCCCUGCUGGAUGUCAGCAACUCUGCAAGAACCCUCCCAUACAGAAUGCUGCUGCGUUAACCCUGAACGUACGUUGAAAAUACACGCAACCCUAACUCAAAAUGCCGGACAUUGGAGGCAUUUAAGAAACUCCGCCCGGACAGCCCUGCAAAAGAGGACAUGUCCAGGGAAAAGAGGACUUAUGGACAUGUGAAACACGUGGUUUCUGCAGCGAUGGAAAAUGGAAACAAGUCAUAUUUGAUCAAAGCAGCGAACUCCUUCUUCACCACGCUGGAUCGGUAUCCGAAUCACUGCAGUCACUGCACCAAUCUGCCUGUCGUUCUCAGGAGCCACUCUUGCCUCACUCAUGAACAAAACUGAACUACUUGACCUCCUCCCCAUUCCACAAAUGGCACUCCACCCUUUUCCAGGCAAGAACCAUGAACUCGCACUUGGCAGUGUGGAUUUACAUCCCAGUUGCUUCAGACUUUGCUGCAAAGCAAUCCAGUGAAAGCUAAAGAUCCUGGCAAAAAGAAGCCAGCAGGACCACAUUACCACUUAACCCUGCAGCCACCAAAGUGGAUCACCUUGACUGAGCCUAGAAAUUCUGUCCAUAAAAGUUAUGAACAGAACCUGUAACAAAGGGCAUCUGUGGCCGGGUUAAACUCACACUGGAAAACCAGUCCGACUUACUGCUGGCAACACAGACCAAGCUCAGACACCGGUCAUACAGGGACUGGACCCCCACAAGCAAGCACUUCAAUACACCAAACUCACUGAACAUUCCUCUCAGGACACGGUUGAACGCCUUCUCCACGUCCACAAAGCACAUGUAGACUCGGCUCCUCCCACUGACGUCGCCGCCAGUCUCUCCACCAGCCGGGGUGCUAUUGGCUAAAGCUCUAGCUUCACUUCCUGCUCCAGCGUCGCAAUCUGCGAGAGACCCUCCAGAGAAGUACAGUGCGGCAUGGAUAAAGUAAUGGUACUGGAAGGUGUUGAUUGAGCUGGAAAAGGAGAAUCAGCUCCUUGUGUCGACACCACCAGAAGCCAAACUCACUCCAGCUUCAGAUCCUGUUCCAGCCAAGACCGCACCAGCUUCUAAGCCUGCCCAAGUCAAGCUUGCUCCAGCUUUGACGCCAGUUCAAGCCAAACUUGCUCGGGAGUUACCAGGUUCUAAUUUGCUUACUUUUUUAAAUAGGGGAGUUACUCUUGCUAUCUUGAAAUCUUUUGGUACUUGGCAUUGUUUAAUUGAGAGGUUUAUUAUGUGUGUGAUGAUUGGGGUAAUGGUGGUGGCAGAGUCCCUGAGGAAUCCGGAGGGGAUACUGUCAAGGGCGGUGGCCUUUUUUAGGUGGAGCGCGCUCAAUUUUGUGAGCACCUCGUCAGCUGGGACAAUUUCUAAUUUGAAAUUGUUGUUGAAUACUCCUAGAUUUCUGUAGUAGGCUCUGUGUUCUACACCUAAAAGACCAGAGUGAUGGGACAGCUUGUUAACGAGAGUUGUGGCUAUGCUGGUGAAAAAGGUGUUAAGUGUGCUUGCUACCUCCAUUUUGUCUGUAAUGAGGGAGUUGACCUCCCUGAUGUUGACGUUUGGUGAGUCCGGUUUUAAGUUUCAGGCUGCAGCCAAGAAGCUAGUUGUUGAGGAUUUUCCAGAGCUCACGUGGCUUAUUUGUGUUUUCCUCUAUUUUGUCAUUAAUGUCAUUUCUUUUAAGGAUAUAGUCAAGUUGUUUGCCUUAUUUCUUAAUUUAUUGCAUUGCUUUUUGAUCGUGUAAGGAGUGAUUUGAGUUUAUUAUUGGGUUGUUUAUCUACUUCGGUUUUGUACUUUUUGUAUUUGGAGUAUUUUCUGUCUCUGUCUUUUAUGGCAGCUAAUAGUUAAUAGGAAUUCAUCCAUGGUUCAGAGCGGGCUUUGAUCCUGAUUGUUUCUCACUGGAGCCAUAUCAUUUAGUAUCGCUAGAAACGCUGUUUCAAAGCAAUCCCCAGCAUCAUCGACCAGGUUGCUCGUGAGCACAGGGGACCAGUCCCACUCACCUAGUUUUAGGUUGAAAUUAUGACCAAAGUAUGUUUUAAGGGAUCUGGAUUGAGCUAUUAUGUGGCCGUUUGCUUUGGGUUCAGCUAUUUUGAGGGUUCAGCUGGUUAGAUAGUGGUCGCUGAGACCACAGAUCAUGACCCCACUAUUUUUUUAUGUUAGACCGGUCUGAUGUGAGAAUGAGAUCUAUGGUUGACUGGGUAGUGUUAUUAGCUGGGUGAGACCAUGCAGAUUACAAAGCUUGCUGUAAGAUUUAAUGACUGGUGCAUCUCUGCGUUGAAUAUCUGUGUUCAGAUCUCCAGUUAUAAUUAUCUCCACCUUGUCUAUCCCAGCUAAGCACUCCUCGAGAGCAUCAUAGAAAUCAGUCUGACUAGGGGUCUGUAUUCAGUCCCUAUAAUAUAUCUUAGCACUUUUGAAUUUGAUUUCCGCCCACACGGAUUCAAGGGCCCUGUGGUUAAGAUCAGUGCAAGUUAUGUAUUUUGUAUCCCGGUGAAUAUACAUAAAAACAACCCCACCAUGUUUAUUCCUGUCCUUUCUGAUAACAGAUAAGUUUUUUUUUUAUCUCAGAAACAUUUUUGAUCUAACUUAGUUUCAGAGAAACAGGAUUUUACCUUGUUGUGGAACAUUUCUCUGAUUUGGUCAUGUUUGGUUCCAGCAAGGCUGUUCACAUUAAGGUGAAUGAUGUGUAGCCCACUGGAACCAAAGUGAACAUCAGAGUCCGCUGGGGAGAGUAUUGUCCAGAAAGUGGUGGGAUAACAAUGAUUUUUAUUUAUCUGAAAAAUGCUUUUUUUGCAGCAAGCAAGAACAAAAUAAUUUGUUCAUCUCUACUUCGUGGGGACAACAACAAACAUUAGUUUCACCUGGAAUGAAGCAACAGUAAGUCAGUUGUCCUCCUUUUGGUACUUCAGUUUCUUCUCUGCAACAAAGACAACACGGGAAGUGAGUCACAAUCUUUUACACUAAAAGUCAUGUUCUCAUAUUCUUUGCUAUUUUACUGUUUUUUUACAGAAGCCUGUUUAGGCAGUAGGGCUGGACAAUUAUGGCAACUAUAAUAAUCACGAUUACUUUGACUGAUAUUCAAAUCACAAUAACUUAAUUAUUCUUUCAUUUGAAAACAUUAGUAGUGUACCCCCAAAUCUCAAUUUUAAAUUUAAAUUAAAAAUACAGAUAUGUGUAACAAUCGAACUACAAGUAAAAGAAAUAGUUACAGUAAUAAAUAUAAUAAAGUUUUCCAGUUUAAUUUUUUUCUAAUUCCAUUUUUUACCUUUUCCACUUACAUAUUUUACCACCAUAGAGUGUGCUUUUUGUGUCGUAUCUCCUAUACAAUUUAAUAAAAUGUUGGUCUAUUAAAUGCACACAUUCUUACAUGUAUCAGUGCAUUAAAUCUUUGGACCAUUUUGACCAUUAUUUUAGAUCAUAGAAUACUAAUUUUGUAAUUGCAUCAAUAAGAGUAUUAAAUACAUCGUGCUUGUGUAAAGUACUUUUUGAAAACAUUUUGUUAUUGCAGUCAGACCGGAUGCUGUGCAUGCCGCUGUUAUCGUGAAGGGAGAUAGUGUGCUGGCGUACUAAACUUGAUGACUUUUGAGACGACUUGUGGGUGUUUAAAAAAAAAAAAAAAAAAAAGACAGCCUCUCAAGUUGCGACUGCUGUCCAGUUAGCACAUUAUUUUUACAUUGACGAUGUGGUUCACAACAACACCAGCAGAUCAGAUGUGUUGUGGGUGUCUGGAUUGUACUUGCUAGGUUUAGAGCCAUAGUUUAGUCAUGUCUCAAGUGGCCAUCAAGACAUUGUUCAGUUCAGAAAGGGACGGUUCAGUAUUUCGAGAAUAAAUGAGCAAUACCGGACACAUUAUUCUCCAAAACAAAUAUUCCUUCUUCUCGCAAAGGCAGCUUUUCAAUCACAUUUAUGUCAAUUUCCCUGAUAUUCUGCGUUUAACCGCGGGUCCGCUUUAUUGGCAGAUUCUGUAACUCAGUCCGCAGUUACAUGAACGCGAAAACCAUAUUGCUUUAUUUAUUGAUUUUUUUGAGUGUAAGCAUACUAGCGGUCUGUCAAACAAGAAGUAGCAAACAUGGUUGGGUCCCAAACUUUUAGUAGACAAGCCCCUUUUUUCCCCACUUAUUCGCUUGCUCAUCAGUGACCGAAUGAAAAUUUGAUUAAUUGUCCAGCCCUUCUAGGCGGUAAACUAUUUGGGCACCCUGAUGGGCGUAGACAAGUACUUUAUACAGUGAUGAGUAUUUUGCAAAUACAAGAUUUCUGAAUGCGUGACAGCAUAAAUUUGGGUUAUGUUUUUUGCUUUUCAUUCCUGCCCUCCACCCAAUGGAAUGGAGCAAGUGCAUGCCAGUAAAAGCUUUACCAAUUUAGUUAGAAAAUGUUCUUACUUAUUUUCUUGGCUGAUGUCUUGCUAUGAACAGGAGUAUCAACAUAUUCAGCAGCUUUUUUCUUCUUCUUCUUCUUCUUCUUCUUCUCUGACAGCUGAGACGAAUGUCCAACAUCAUCUUCCUUCUCCUCUACAUUGGCUGCUCUCUUCUUUUUUUUGUCUUUCUUACUAUUGACAUCUAUUGUUGACUUCUUCUUGCUCUUUGGUGCUUCUUCCUCUGACUUCAAAGCUUUUGAUGGAUGAGGCGUGUUUUUUGUAACGCCUUGCCUGCAGAACAUCAACACAGGUUAGAAGAAAAAAAAAAGAAAAAAACAUGUUGAAAUAAUAAACAUGUUUAAUAUGUUUUUACAUCAUGUAAUUUUAACCUUUUUUUCAUAUUUUUUUGAACAUUUGGUUUUUACAUUAUUUAAUUUCAAUAUGCUGUUUUUUCAUAAUACCCUUUUAUUUUACCAUGUUUGGCUUUUAAUAUGUUAUUUCAACAUGUUUAUUUUUACAUUUUAUUUUAAAACAAAAUAGUAAUAUAAAAACAUGCUAAAAUAAAAUGGAAUAUACAUACAUAUACACACACACAUAUAUAUAUAUAUAUAUAUAUACAUAUGUACACACAUAUACAUUAUACACAUACAUACAUACAUACAUAUAUAUGUAUGUAUACAUAUAUAUGUAUGUUAUCCAGGGGUCACCAAACUUUUUGAAACCAAGAGCUACUUCUUGGGUACUGAUAAAUGCAAAGAGCUACCAGUUUGAUACACACUUAAGUAAAUUGCCAGAAAUAGCCAAUUUGCUCAAUUUACCUUUAACUCUGUUAUCAUUAAUUAUUAAUAUGUAUCUUUGUGGAAACACUGAUCAUCUUAAUGAUUUCUCACAAUAAAUAUAUAUAGAAACAGAUAAAUAUCAAUAUGCAACACUUUAUUUUUAUAUUUUCUCUAAGUGCACAUUUUUCUAAUUGAACAUUUUGAAAUGAUCACUUCUGAGACAGCCUUGUGAAAUCACAAUAUCCCAUUUUAACUAGCUAGCCACUAACAUUUUUAACAGAUCAUGAAUUACUUUGCACCAUGUUUGUACAAAUAAUUACUCAUGUAAAAUACAAAAGUCAACCCUCAAAUUUUUAAAUAAAUCAUGUCACACUUUGAACUGGAACCAAAUCUGUUAUGUUUCUUUGUCAGUUAGUGGGAAGCCUGGCAUUGCAUGCUGUUAACUAGUGUGUUGUACUCUGGUGUGUAACUUGACAUUGCAACUCUGAGUGAGUCUUGCAGAUGUGCAUCAGAGAGGCGUGUUCUGUGUUUGUUCUUGAUGAAGUUCAUGUCAGAAAAGGCUGAUUCACAAAGAUAAGUUGAACCAAACAGGCUUGCAACCUUCAUAGCUGCUGCACAUA